UACGUAGGGCGCAAGCGUUGUCCGGAAUUAUUGGGCGUAAAGAGCUCGUAGGCGGUCUGUUACGUCCGCUGUGAAAUCCCCAGGCUUAACUUGGGAACUGCGUCUGAUACUGGGAGGCUUGAGUGCGGGAGAGGGAUGUGGAAUUCCAGGUGUAGCGGUGAAAUGCGUAGAUAUCUGGAGGAACACCGGUGGCGAAGGCGGCAUCCUGGACCGACACUGACGCUGAGGCGCGAAAGCUAGGGGAGCAAACGGG
rnacentral:rRNA from 1 species